GAUGAACGCUGGCGGCGUGCCUAAUACAUGCAAGUCGAGCGAACAGACGAGGAGCUUGCUCCUUUGACGUUAGCGGCGGACGGGUGAGUAACACGUAGGUAACCUACCUAUAAGACUGGGAUAACUUCGGGAAACCGGAGCUAAUACCGGAUAAUAUUUCGAACCGCAUGGUUCGAUAGUGAAAGAUGGCUUUGCUAUCACUUAUAGAUGGACCUGCGCCGUAUUAGCUAGUUGGUAAGGUAACGGCUUACCAAGGCAACGAUACGUAGCCGACCUGAGAGGGUGAUCGGACACACUGGAACUGAGACACGGUCCAGACUCCUACGGGAGGACGCAGUAGGGAAUCUUCCGCAAUGGGCGAAAGCCUGACGGAGCAACGCCGCGUGAGUGAUGAAGGUCUUCGGAUCGUAAAACUCUGUUAUUAGGGAAGAACAAACGUGUAAGUAACUGUGCACGUCUUGACGGUACCUAAUCAGAAAGCCACGGCUAACUACGUG
rnacentral:rRNA from 1 species